rnacentral:rRNA from 1 species
UACGUAGGUGGCAAGCGUUGUCCGGAUUUAUUGGGCGUAAAGGGAGCGCAGGCGGUGACUUAAGUCUGAUGUGAAAGCCCACGGCUCAACCGUGGAAGGUCAUUGGAAACUGGGUCACUUGAAUAUAGAAGAGGAAAGUGGAAUUCCAUGUGUAGCGGUGAAAUGCGUAGAUAUAUGGAGGAACACCAGUGGCGAGGGCGACUUUCUGGACAGUAACUGACGCUGAGGCGCGAAAGCGUGGGGAGGCAAACAGGAUUAGAUACCCCGUACGU